rnacentral:lncRNA from 1 species
UUUUUUUAAGACGUCCAAACAAUUAAGCUAAUAGUACAACUAACCAUCAAUAAAAUAAUCUUUUAAAUAUUAAUUUAACUUUUAUCCGAAUUUAAAUCCUUAUAAUCUUCAACAAAUCUGAUCUCUUUACCUGAUAUCCGGGUGUAUUCUAAAUGUCACAUGUUAAUUCAAUUUCCAAAAUUUAAAGUCUACGUCCGUUUGUUCCCUCCCGUGCUAAAAGCCCACCGCCAAGCAUCAACUGCUCCCUUCUCCAAUAUCUUCCACUCCUCUUCUCGGCCAAUCAUAACCUCAAAGGUACAUCACUUUCUCUCUCUUGAACAGUGUGCAUGUUUGAUUGUGUAUACAUGAAUCGAUUUACGCCUGACGCCAUUGGAGCACCACCACCCAGUCGCCACUAUCUCAAUUAAAUACCUCCAAUAGGACGAAGCCCCUAUUCCCUCAUGAAAACCCAUCUGGAGACAUAUGCGAAAGUCACCCUCCUUGUCUGCCGAACCGUUCUUCUUCAUACCAGUCUAAAAAACCCUAAAACCACGAUAAAAGCACAUUGAUACACACCCAUCACCGCUUAGCAUCACAGAAAAACCCAAAGAAACUUUCAUUUUUAUCAAUGAGUUACAAAUCCCCAACCUCUUGUGCUUUCUUUUUCUGUAAUUUUUGCAGGUUGCAGUGCAUACAUGAACUUAUUGUCGAGAUUAAGCAACAUUUUGCUGGGUAGGCAUUUAUAGAUUUAAUUUUUUGCUUUUUGUUAUCUCAUAUUCGCUCAAAACGUAUUUGCUUUUUUUUUUCUGUUCAUCUUUGAUUUGCUAAAAAAAAUUAGGUUUUUGUUUUUUUUUUUUCUUUUAUCUCAUAUUUGUUCCAAACAGAAAUGGAUGGUCAAAUUCUCACAGUGUGCUUCUUCGUUUUAUGUAUUUUUUAUGCAAAUGGAAAAAAUGUCACCUUCAGACAUGCUACAAGUCUAAUAUUUGAUUAUGGUUCUCUUAUGUGUAUAUGAGUUUAUGUGUUUUGCACGGUAUUAUAAUCAGAACACUAAAAAUUAGAAAUUGUUAAAAUUGAUUCUUAUUAAAUGCCAAAUUAAUUUAUGAUCAUGGUUUAUUUGUCUUUAUGUGUGAGGUGGGAUCAAAGUUACGCUGGUUAGCUUCUUAUCACCUUAUCACGCACACACACGUCCAAGUAUGUCAAUGUAAGUUUGUUUAAAAAACGAAUUCAAAUUUUGAUACCAUAUGAUAUGAUAAUGAAAAAGUUCUAAUAGAUUUUCUUCCACUAAUGGCUUAUAGAGUUUGUUGGAAUUGCUUUAUGAAAAUUUGAGAUCAACAAGAAUCUAAGAUCCGGGGCUUCUAUCUAUAAUAGAUGUUUCCUAUUGUCAUUUUCCAUUUUAUUCGAGGAAUAAAGUUUUUAUUUCAACUAUUUUGAAAUUUCAUUAUUUGAGUAUCUUUCUCUGUUCUCAUAUAUGUAUUCGAGGUUUUAUCACUCGGUUUGUGUUUAAGGAAAAUUAAGUUUAUUAUUGUUAUUAUUAUUAUUUGUGAGGUAGUAUGUGUUGCAUGUAUCAAUGGAUCAUUAAGAAACAAUAUUGGAGUGCAUUUGACGACAGGCUGAAUUUUGUGGUGAAUACCCAUCCAUGAGUUACGUCAUUCAGGGCUCCACACAUUUGAAUGCUUGUAUCCAGGUUUAGCUGGUUGUUAGCUGCUGGAAAUAUGUAAGUUGCUUUGGCUUUUUAUGUAUAAAUCUAUAAAUAUUGUUGGUAAUGACACUGCAAAUUUUAUUGGUUAUCUUGCUAACAUUUUAUAGAGGUCAAAUGCAACUAAUAUCUCAAAAAGACAACCCAAAAUCAUCGAAUAAGAUUUUGGCCCUCUUUAAGGUAAUAAUUAGAGGUUUAGUCAUUAGGGAGUUUUAUUGUUUGAUUUUAACUUGAUUUAUGUUAAGUUGUAUUUUGGGUUCAAAUUUCUAUCCCAAAAAUUCUGUUAAUUUAAUUUCCUAUAAGUUGUACUUUAGGUUCUAAGGUUAAGGGACAACGUAAGUUGAAAUCGCAUCAGGUAUGUCCCCAAAAGAAUCUUUUGUUGGUUUGGCAGGAAACAACCCUUAACUUUGUUAUUAAUGAUUUGGUUCAACGCCCAAGAUGCCCAUCGAUUAUGGUCUUUUGACAGCAUCUAAUGAAAACUAGGUCUUAAAAUAGAAGACAAAUAUUUUAUGCUUAAGGUCGUCUAUUUUAUAAAGGCAUGUAUUCAUAUUUUUAUUAAUAACAUCUCUUUUGUUACAUGAAUAAUAUGAGGUUAUCGUGUAAUUCUUUUAUUAUUAUUAUUAUUAUUAUUAUUAUUAUUUAUUUUAGUACUUUUAAUAAGUUAACUUUAUAUAUUAAUUACCAACAAGAAACUUUAGUUAAUCAGCUCCCUAAUCAUGGUUUUAAAGUUUUAAUUGUAGCUUACUUCUUCCCAUUUUACCUUUAGGGGUUACUCUGUAGUGUGCAUUUAGUAAGAGGGGAUGAUGGUUGUACGGAGCAAAUUAAGCAUUUCAAGUGUGGCUUCUCGUAGGUAAGGUUCAAAUAUUUUUUUAUAUGGAGUAUAAUUUAAAUAUAUUUUUUAUUAUAUUUGAAACAUGCAUAUAAAUGUAAAUAUCAUAAGCAUAUUCUUCAACAUUAUACAAUUAUGAAUAAGUUUUUAUCUAAACAACCGGAUUUCAGGGAAAUUACUACCUGAAAACCAUGAAUAUCUUUAAAUGUUUCCGUUUUAAUCAAUCUAAAAAUAGAAAUAUUUAGUAUUUGGCCAUGAUUUUAUAUUAAAUUGAUUUGUGUUUUAUGGUUCCUCUCUACUGUUUGACGAAGAUGAGCUUUGUUUUUGAUUUUAUAGAUAGUGAGUAAUGUUUAUGUGUGGGCUUGAGCGAGUAGUCUUACAAAAAUGCUACAUAAUGGUAAUUGUAGUGACCUGUAGUCAUUUGGUGGUAAGGAAUGCACUUUAAAAUAAUAUAUUCUCUUACUGUCAACAAAGGGAAUGGAUGGUAUUCAAAUAAUAAUGAGGAAUAUGCAUUGAUGUCCAAUCUUCAAAUGUCCCUACUGAAACAGAAAUAUUACUCGCUAUUAGGAUUUAAGCCUUAUUUUGGUAUGUUUCAGUUCGUACUAUCUUAUUAAUUUUAUUGUAUGAUAACAUACUUGAUUUUGCUUAUGGCAUGCAGUUCUUAUGAAGUUAGAUAUGCUUUUACAACAUGCUAUUAAUGGAUUGCAAUGCAUCCCACAUAUUGUGCAACCUCUGAUUCAGAUACACCACUUAUUCUUUCCAAGCUAUAUCCGGAUUGGAUCCUAAUGGUGUUAUAAGAACUUUGUUCGUUAUGAAAAGUGAUAACCAUUAUGAGUUACUUACAUUUAUUAUUCUUUUAUAUAUUUAUUUUGUUUUAA